rnacentral:rRNA from 1 species
AAUGACUACUGGCGAUGGAUAUCUUGGCUCUCGUGUCGAUGAAGAACGUAGCGAAAUGCGACACUUGGUGUGAAUUGCAGAAUCCCGUGAACCAUCGAGUCUUUGAAUGCAAGUUGCGCUCGAGGCCAUUAGGUUGAGAGCACGUCUGUUUGGGCGUCAUGC